AACGAACGCUGGCGGCAUGCCUAACACAUGCAAGUCGAACGAGACCUUCGGGUCUAGUGGCGCACGGGUGCGUAACGCGUGGGAAUCUGCCCCUUGGUUCGGAAUAACUUCGGGAAACUGAAGCUAAUACCGGAUAAUGACGUAAGUCCAAAGAUUUAUCGCCAAGGGAUGAGCCCGCGUAGGAUUAGCUAGUUGGUGGGGUAAAGGCUCACCAAGGCGACGAUCCUUAGCUGGUCUGAGAGGAUGAUCAGCCACACUGGGACUGAGACACGGCCCAGACUCCUACGGGAGGCAGCAGUGGGGAAUAUUGGACAAUGGGCGAAAGCCUGAUCCAGCAAUGCCGCGUGAGUGAUGAAGGCCUUAGGGCUGUAAAGCUCUUUUACCCGGGAAGAUAAUGACUGUACCGGGAGAAUAAGCCCCGGCUAACUCCGUGCCAGCAGCCGCGGU
rnacentral:rRNA from 1 species